ACACUAAUACCUAAAUUAUAGGGUUGUUGUGAAGAGUAAGUGAGUUAAUGCAUAUAAUUACAAUGGUACCCAAUUUAUAAUAAGAGCCUAAUAACUGCCAACUAUCAACUUAGUAUAUUGUAGGACUAAUGAGUAGUGUAUGCCUAUGAAUUGAAUGGAAGAAUGCAAGGCUUAGUAAAGGAAGCUGAAACCAAAGGGCCUGACUUAAGACAAAUGGCAUAAAAUGAACGGCACUUCUAAGAUGCUAAUGAUCCUGGGAGUUUUAGCCUUUUGUUGCCUGCUGCUGCGGUGUUUGAACCAUUCCAGUAAGCCAGCAACUUUGCAGGGACAAGGACAGAGGAUGCAAAGCAUGGAGGGAAAGUAGGAGUGUUUGUACCAUGAGUCUCUGCACACCCCUCAUCUUGGCUAUAGUAGACUGGACCACAGAUGGACACUGUACCAUGCAGAUUACUUCUUCCAGGAACUUGGAUUGAGACCAAGAGACUCAUGGCAUCCUCUUCUGGCUGCAAGACUUAUAUUUUUAUAUUUAGGCAAUAGAAGAGGGGCAGCAGAUGCCUACCUUGUGGAACAGAGGAAGGCAGGCAGUUCACAGAGAAAGAGGACUAGACAGUCGGACAGAGGGGAGCAGGCUUGGGA
rnacentral:lncRNA from 10 species